CCUACGGGUGGCAGCAGUGAGGAAUAUUGGUCAAUGGACGAGAGUCUGAACCAGCCAAGUAGCGUGAAGGAUGACUGCCCUAUGGGUUGUAAACUUCUUUUAUAUGGGAAUAAAAUGUUCCACGUGUGGGAUUUUGUAUGUACCAUAUGAAUAAGGAUCGGCUAACUCCGUGCCAGCAGCCGCGGUAAUACGGAGGAUCCGAGCGUUAUCCGGAUUUAUUGGGUUUAAAGGGAGCGUAGGUGGAUUGUUAAGUCAGUUGUGAAAGUUUGCGGCUCAACCGUAAAAUUGCAGUUGAAACUGGCAGUCUUGAGUACAGUAGAGGUGGGCGGAAUUCGUGGUGUAGCGGUGAAAUGCGUAGAUAUCACGAAGAACUCCGAUUGCGAAGGCAGUUCACUGGACUGCAACUGACACUGAGGCUCGAAAGUGUGGGUAUCAAACGGGAUUAGAUACCCUAGUAGUC
rnacentral:rRNA from 1 species